GCCUCGGUAGUGUAAUGGAUCAGCACGGCAGACCGGAUAUACUGUAAGUGCGAGUUCGAGUCCCGUCUGAGGUU
rnacentral:tRNA from 1 species